rnacentral:rRNA from 2 species
AGGUUUUCGGAUCGUAAAACUCUGUUGUAAGGGAAGAACACGUACGAGAGUAACUGCUCGUACCUUGACGGUACCUUAUUAGAAAGCCACGGCUAACUACGUGCCAGCAGCCGCGGUAAUACGUAGGUGGCAAGCGUUGUCCGGAAUUAUUGGGCGUAAAGCGCGCGCAGGCGGUUCUUUAAGUCUGAUGUGAAAGCCCACGGCUCAACCGUGGAGGGUCAUUGGAAACUGGAGAACUUGAGUACAGAAGAGGAAAGCGGAAUUCCACGUGUAGCGGUGAAAUGCGUAGAGAUGUGGAGGAACACCAGUGGCGAAGGCGGCUUUCUGGUCUGUAACUGACGC